GGAAGUUACUUAGUGCCUAUAUUUACUUUGGGAAAAACGAGUGAUGAAAAUACAAAAUAAAUGUAUACCUGUGAUAAUAAUACUAUCCCGCUCAAAUAUAUUAAGUAGCACUAUAUUGAAAAAAAACCAGCUCGUCGACACGCGACAAAACAAGCACAAUAAACAUCUGGUAUUCGUAUAAAUAUAUAUACAGUAUAUACUAUAUAGCUGAUUGGGAUGAAUGGGGGUUCAG